rnacentral:rRNA from 1 species
UAGGGAAUAUUAGUUAAUGUGCGAAAGCGCGAACUAGCAACGCCGCGUGUGCGAUGAAGGUCUUCGGAUCGUAAAGCACUUUUCGAGAAGAUGAGGAAGGACAGUACUCUCGGAAUAAGUCUCGGCUAACUACGUGCCAGCAGCCGCGGUAAAACGUAGGAGGCAAGCGUUAUCCGGAUUUACUGGGCGUAAAGCGCGUGCAGGCGGUUUGGUAAGUUGGAUGUGAAAGCUCCCGGCUCAACUGGGAGAGGUCGUUCAAAACUACCAGACUUGAGGGCGGUAGAGGGAAGUGGAAUUCCGUGUGUAGUGGUGAAAUGCGUAGAUAUACGGAGGAACACCAGUGGCGAAAGCAGCCUCCUGGUCCGCAACUGACGCUCAGACGCGAAAGCUAGGGUAGCAAACGG